rnacentral:rRNA from 1 species
GAGUAAUGUCUGGGAAACUGCCUGAUGGAGGGGGAUAACUACUGGAAACGGUGGCUAAUACCGCAUAACGUCGCAAGACCAAAGAGGGGGACCUUCGGGCCUCUUGCCAUCAGAUGUGCCCAGAUGGGAUUAGCUAGUUGGUGAGGUAACGGCUCACCAAGGCGACGAUCCCUAGCUGGUCUGAGAGGAUGACCAGCCACACUGGAACUGAGACACGGUCCAGACUCCUACGGGAGGCAGCAGUGGGGAAUAUUGCACAAUGGGCGCAAGCCUGAUGCAGCCAUGCCGCGUGUAUGAAGAAGGCCUUCGGGUUGUAAAGUACUUUCAGCGGGGAGGAAGGUGUUGUGGUUAAUAACCGCAGCAAUUGACGUUACCCGCAGAAGAAGCACCGGCUAACUCCGUGCCAGCAGCCGCGGUAAUACGGAGGGUGCAAGCGUUAAUCGGAAUUACUGGGCGUAAAGCGCACGCAGGCGGUCUGUCAAGUCGGAUGUGAAAUCCCCGGGCUCAACCUGGGAACUGCAUUCGAAACUGGCAGGCUUGAGUCUUGUAGAGGGGGGUAGAAUUCCAGGUGUAGCGGUGAAAUGCGUAGAGAUCUGGAGGAAUACCGGUGGCGAAGGCGGCCCCCUGGACAAAGACUGACGCUCAGGUGCGAAAGCGUGGGGAGCAAACAGGAUUAGAUACCCUGGUAGUCCACGCCGUAAACGAUGUCUACUUGGAGGUUGUGCCCUUGAGGCGUGGCUUCCGGAGCUAACGCGUUAAGUAGACCGCCUGGGGAGUACGGCCGCAAGGUUAAAACUCAAAUGAAUUGACGGGGGCCCGCACAAGCGGUGGAGCAUGUGGUUUAAUUCGAUGCAACGCGAAGAACCUUACCUGGUCUUGACAUCCACAGAACUUUCCAGAGAUGGAUUGGUGCCUUCGGGAACUGUGAGACAGGUGCUGCAUGGCUGUCGUCAGCUCGUGUUGUGAAAUGUUGGGUUAAGUCCCGCAACGAGCGCAACCCUUAUCCUUUGUUGCCAGCGGUUAGGCC